AACAGCAAACAGAGCGAGAGAGAAAGAGAACAGGGUGUCCUCAGUGAAGACGGAUGCUGCAGUUCUCGGAGCGUUAUGAAGAUGCCUGUUUCUAGGGAGAGGAGAUGAUGAUAGCCGCAUCACAGAAACCGCAGCACACCCUCCUCACAGACACUUCUGUGAUGCUAAAGCAGAGGAUGUUGGGAGAGCUGCCCACAGAUAUGCGGCGGGAGACUGAGAGGGAUUUGUGGGAUACAGAUGACAGAUUAAUCCUCUCGAGUAAAAUGGAGAAACGGGGAGAGUUAUGAAACAUCACAAAUAUCUCAGCACUUGCUAUAUGUAUGUGUUGGCAUUACCCGACGUUUACGGCACACCAGGCCAGCAGUACUGAUGAGCUGGAUGGCAUAACGGAGUGAAGUCUCCUGUCCGAUACGGGUUAAAACUGUGUGUGCCUCCUCACUGAGCUCGACAUCUUCC